UCUUGUGUCUUUAGUAGAAAGGAUUAUUAUUAUUAUUUUUCACAUUUUUUAAAGAGAAUAUAGGUUGCUAUUCAGAAAUUUGUAUUGAUGUGAAAAAUCUAUCACUAUUCAAAUGUGUAUCUUAUGUAUUCUGUUUCUGCUAUGGUGUAAUAUUAAUCUUACUGCCAACUACCAUCCUUUCAUUUCUUCAUGUGGCAACCGUUUCCAACAUUCUUUUAAACAACAAUAAUUUUUAAGACCUCCCCAACCCCCACCUUUUUUUUUUUUUUUUUUUGUAAUUUCUGAAACUAAUCAAAAAUCAAAAACUGGCAAAUAAAAUUCAAACUUUUUUAUAUAUAUAUAUAUAUAUAUAUAUAUAUAUUUAUUUAUUUACCUCAAGGAUAUUUCAGUCUCAACAAAAACCCUAAAAGCAUUUCUUGAUAAUCUUCUUACCUUCAUGCCUGUGCUCGUAUCCAUUUCAUGAGAAGAUGGAAAAAAACUAAUUGACCCUGGAUUGACCUGAACCCAAAACUAUAAGCACCAAGUUAAGUAUUAGCAAGAAUCGAACAUCUUUUCAUCUGUUUUCUUUUACUCUAGAGAAGAAGACUGUUCUAUGUGCAUUGUAAACCUAUCUUCAACAUCACAACACUCAAUUUUUUCAAGAUGUAAGAAACCAUUAUUAUAUUUAGAAUGCUACACAUGAGCUAUGUCCCCCUUUGAGGGCAACAGUAUGUUUACCAG